GCAAAGGAACCCUCACGGUGUUUUGUAUUGCAAGCCUCACUUUGAACAACUCUUCAAGGAAUCUGUUUUAGCUAAAGCACUUACUGAGGGUUGGAGGGUAUGUGACAUGCAUCUUCCUCAGGAUUGGAGGAUUCAAAGAUAUGAGAGAAAUACAUGGAAGAAGCCGUGAUGAUAGGCAGAAAAGAGAACAAUUACGCCAAGAGAAGGAAAUGUCCAAGUUUGCAUAAAUGGCAGAUGCACAUAGACAACGCCAACAAUAGCAACAACAACAACAACAUGAAGGUUUUGGGACCUCCUGCGAUGUUAGUGCACCCAAGGUUUCUUCAACAGUACUACAAUAGGAUCAGUGACAAGAUAUGAAAUUUGGCUUUUUUAAGCAAGGCAAUGCCAAGAUACACAGUGGUAGGUGUUUUGUCCCAGUCUCAAGCUAGCUAUACUUUUUGAGUGUAUCUAGUAGAAGUAAGCAUGCAGAUCGUUCCCUUCGAGACCGGCUAGCUAUUUUGUUCUUUUUUGUUUUAAAUUUGAAUGUCACUAUCUACUUUGAAAUAGAAUUAUUUAGUAUUUGAAAUCAUUAACUGAAUUCUACUUUGUAGCUGAAUUCUCUUGUAAAUAUUAAUAUUUACUUUGUAGCUGAA